CAACUUUUCUCCCACCAUUAUCACACUCCAUAGAAGCCUUUGAAGUCCCAAGAGAAGUAGCAAAGCAAGGGAGAGUGUGGGAAAACUAUAGAGUGAAGGUUGUGCUUCGAGGGUCCGGGCGACAGAAAGUGAAGCCGAAGAAGAAACGACUCCAUGCCAGCUUUAAGAACAAUUGAGGUUGAGCAGGCGAUGGAAUGGAUCGGUGUUGAGCGGAUUUCCCUUUUGAUGUUUAUGUAAUGAAACCUUGAGUAUGCAUCUCCAUAUGCAUAACUCACACGUUUUUUCGCUGCAAACACUCUGACUUAUUUAUCAUUUCUACUUGAACUUAUUACUACUUCAUUUUAAUUAACUUUCAGUUGGGGUCUAGUCGUUAUGGCAGACUCAUUUGUGAAUUACCCAAGUGGUUAUAUAUAUAUACCACUAGUUUGUUAUUAA